UUUUGAACAAAUUUGGUCCAUAGAAUUAAAGUCGAAAUUAUACCCAUUUGUAAUGACUGGAAAUGAAUAGUCAUUUUUGUUUAUCUUUGUUUAGCAUAUUCCAAAGAGCGGCGACAACAAACUUUUGAAAAAAAUUGGUAUCUGAUGAUUAUUCAUCUUUUAUAUACUAGGUUAUGUGAAAUAUCCGUCACUGUCAAUCAAAAAUAUUGGUUUGUCAACUUGUUCUUGAAAGUUAUUUCGAAAAGCGUUAGAUAAUGCCUAAAAAAAUAUAUAAUAGGUAUAAUGAACAAUCGCAGCUGAUGAUUUUAAAUAUAUUGGCUUUUUUUCAACUGGAAAAGGAACAAGUCCGAAACGGAAUUGCACUUCAAAUUGAGAAUGUGAUACAGCGAGCCGCAGAUGCAACAAAAUUGAGCACAACAACGAUCGCAAAUAUAAAGAAGAAUGGGAUAAAAUCAGAUCAGAAUUACGCAGCCCGUAUAUCUUCCAAGCAAAAGACAGCAAAAACCAAAAUUACAACAUAUUUGAAACAUAGAAUUUGGGACACAAUUUAUUCUAUGUACGCCAGAAAAGAAUAUGUAAUAUUGGCAACAAUAAGAGAAAAGUUCAGGGAAGGAAUUAAAUAUUUUGAGUUUUCCAUUGACUCUUUAAGAAGAUGGAUCAAUAGUAUAGGCUUCAAGUGGAAAAAAUCAAAUAACAGAAAAUAUUUGAUGGACUUCCCAAAUAUUGUUCAUAAAAGAAUCAAUUUUUUAAGGGAGUAUAUCAAAAAUAGAAAUCUAGGUCCGGAAGGUUUUACUCCAGUUUUCAUUGACGAGACGUGGAUUUUUAGCAAGGGAUCAUUUCGUAGUAGCUGGCAAGAUGACACCAAGCACACGGAUUCAAGGAAAAACAGUGAAGGUCAUCGUUAUAUCGUGGGCCACGACGGAACCAAGUGGUGGCUUCAUCAAGGGUGCAAAUUUAAUAUUCAAGAGUGGAUUAAAGACGGGAGAUUAUCAUGACAGUAUGAACAGGAAAAACUUCGAAAACUGGUUUAAAACUCAGCUGGUUCCAAAUCUUCCCCCAAAGUCAUUUAUAAUCAUGGACAAUGCAAGUUACCAUUCUGGUUUAUUAGAAGAAAUCCCGAGAAAAUCUUGGACAAAGCAGAGACUGACCGAAUGGUUGAAGAAAAAGAAUAUUGGCUCUCCAGAAAAAGCCAUGAAAGAUAAAAUAUGGAGUAUUGCACGCAGAAACUGCCCUAGUGGAAAAAAGUACUUCCUUGAUGAAUAUGUUAAACCUUUAGGACACACGAUUUUGCGACUGCCACCAUAUCAUUGCCAGUUUAAUGCAAUUGAAAUGGUAUGGUAUGGUCGGAAUGUAAACGAAAAUAUGAUCAAUAUAUUUUCAAUUUUAAGGGGUCACCUUCAGAAGUUCUGACUACAUGGGAAAGGGUAAUAAACGAAAUUUCUAUAGAUCAUUGGCAAAAAUAUGUUUUCCAUACAGAAAAGGUAAUUGAAAAGGCUUGGGAGGCAAUACAAGUAUGUGAUGCCUAUGACAUUCUGCCACUUGUGAUGACGACUGACGAAGACGACGAUGACGAAGACAAUAUCUCUGAUAUCAGUUCUGACUCUGACAAUACUGACGAGAUUAAGCUUUUUUUGUUCUAGCAAAUUUUGUUUUAUGAUCGUCGUUUAAGUAUUCAAUCAUAUCGUUGCAAUUUCAUUAAUUUGGUAAUGCAAUAUGGCGUGUUUUUUUUUGAGUUUGUAUAUUUUAUUUUUUGGAAUGGUAUUUUCAUUUUAAUGUGUUAACAUAUUCCUUCAAGCAGCAUUUUUUUUCAUGAACAAGUAAAUUAAAUUGUCAGUAUUUAAAUUUUUCCCAGUGAGUUAAAAUAAUUUUAUACCAUUAUUCACAAUUUUUGUAAGCUCGGUUUUGUUACGCCUAAUGCUCGUGCCGAAUUCUACUUUUCAAAUAUGUUGUAGAUUUGGUUUUUGCGGUCUUUUGCUUGGAAAAUAUAUGAGCAGCGUAAUCCUGAUUUUAUCCCAUUCUUCUUUAUAUUUGCGAUCGUUGUUGUGCUCAAUUUUGUUGGAUCUGCGGCUCGCUCUAUCACAUUCUCAAUUUGAAGUGCAAUUCCGUUUCGGACUUGUUGUUUAUGUCCCAUUAUUUAUGAUUAAUUAUAAUAAUAUUUGUUAAUUGUUAAGUUUGUUAAUAAUACAAUAAAUACUACAAGAUUUUUUUUAAAUUUUUUGGGAAUGAAAGUAUAUACACGAAUAUAAAAAUAUAAUAAUAUGCUGCUAAAAUAAAUCAUUUGUUAUUUUUUAACGUAUAAAAAUACAUAGCAGACUAUUAAUUUCUGAAGGCGAUGGUAAAGUUUCUAACCUAAUAUUGAUUGGCAAAAAUAUCUACGCCAUACGUUUUUUCUCACCUGGAUGACGUAACUACAAAUGGGUAUAAUUUCGACUAUACUUUGCUAAUAUUUAGGACGUGACAUCUGUAAUCGUAUUCAAAUGUACUUUCCCUUGUUAGGUUUUUUUUUGAAUUAUAAUUAUUGCAAUUUUUUGAUAUUCGACUUGUCAUUAGGGUCCUAACUCCCUGACAGGGUAUUUCUGGAUAACCGAGGCUGAGAUUGUUUAUGGAACACCGUGCCGAUACCUUAUGUCUCCAUGGAAAUUAACCAAGAGGCCCUGUUUAUCCUGGGUCAACAUAGACGACCUAGAAAACCUGUGUCGUAACAUGCUUGAAACAUCAACACGAGCAGACAUGCGAUGCAACCUCAGCAGCACCUUCGAUUGUUGAUAUUUCGCAAAUGAAGUGGAAUGCAACGUCUAACGAAUUUAUUGCAUUAUAUAUAUUUAAAUAAUUUUAUAUUUUUAGUUAAAUAUGUAGCUAAGUUUAUGCUAAAUAAAUAUACAUUAUUAUAUUAA